GGCUUAUAUAAACAGGGCCACAUCGGGCUCUCCCUCUCCUCUCGUCCUUUCAUCACUUAACUGUAAUAAAGGCUUGUUGCGGAAGGAUCCUUGUGCCCGCAUGCGUUUCUGCCGGCGAGACAAUCACGCUGCUUCCAACAUCUGGUGCUGAAACUCGGGAGGCAGGGAGCCUGCCACUGCCCGUGCUGCAAAGGAGAGCCCCCGUUCGCGGGGAGGAUUCAGAACCGCAACAUUAAGGGCCCGGUGUCCUCAGACCCCUUGACCUGAGCCUGACACAAACUCUCCUGUCCUCCCAGCCAGCUGCACAUGGAGAUACUCUGAGUCCAUCCUACACUCAUGGAAGCCGAGGAACAGAGGCUCUGGCCUGUUGCAGAAGGAUCCUUGUGUCCGUGUGCGUUCUUGCUGGCGAGACGAUCAUGCGGCUUUCAACAUCUGGUGCCGAAACCCGGGAACGAACCACCCGGAAAGCAGGGAGCCUGCCACCGCCGGUAUCGAGGAGAGCCCCCAUUUGCGGGAAGGAUUCAGAACUGCAACAUCGAGGUUAAUCCUGAGAGGCAUAAAACAAUCCAUUCUGGGUACCAGAGCGCCUCACGUGAAAGCUCGUGACAGCUGAAGAUGAUCUUUCAACAAAUACACCUGCUACUACUUGAAGAAUUAAGGGCGGCGAUGGUGACCACUAAUUCUACUCGAGUGGAUUCAUCGCUCACAGAUGGCUUAUUAUCCUGGGUUUCUUCCGUCUUUUCUUAUUUUAAAGAUUGGGUGGGGGUUGGAAUGUUUGGUGCAGCAUUAUGUUGUGGCUUAGUGUUUUUACUCUGGUUGUUCUGCAAACUCAAAACCCAACACAAACAAGUGUUUGUGUUUGACAAGGUGGUGAUGGCACAAGCACUAGCAGCCCUAGAGCAAGGCUUGUCUCCCAAGGUUUGGCUUUCCAUGUUAAAAGAAUGAUAAACAGCAAGGUUACCUCUGCCUUUGUAGUUGUAGUGCCACAAAAUUGGAUGAGACUGGAUUAGCAGCCCUUGCACUCCCGGGGACAUGUUCCCAUUGCACGGGGAUGGGUGUGAUUCCAUGUUGUCUCCUCAUGAGUAUAAAAAUCAAACGGUCUGGAAAGUCAGUGACUGAAGAGUGCAAAUAAGUCUCCGCCCACCUAAGACAGGACAGCCUCGCUGUGAGGAGGUUGCUCCAAUGACGGGUAAGGGCUGAGCAAUGCCUUCCACCAGACUCAGACAUUGGUUAUGCUCUCAAAUAAAUUGGCACAGCACCUCGUCGGCAGAAGGGGACUUGCUAUAUUUAAAACAAAAGGGGGAGAUGUGGUGAGCUGAGACUCAGGCGCCAUCUAGUGGAGCAGACAUCCGCCCUCAGAACUGUAAAGACCUCCAGGACGCAUGUGCGGGUUGCAAAAGCGCGCCAAGCCACUGCCCAGGGGUGAAGAGUGAGCAGCCAAUCAGGGUAUGACACGUCACUUAGGUGCAACCAGGGCUUAUAUAAACAGCGACACUUUGGGGCUAACUCCUCCAUCUCUCCCCGCCCGGGGGUUGCCCGCCGUGGCGUCUGUUGGCCGAUGCGAGCGCCGCCCGCGCCCGCGAGGUGGCCGGGCCUGUGCCGUGGCUGCGCUGCCGCCCCGAGCUUUGUGGGGGCAGUCCCGAGGCUCUCUCCUCCUUUCAUCUCUUGACUGUAAUAAAGCCUGUUGCAGAAGGAUCCUUGUGUCCGCGUGCGUUCUUGUUGGCGAGCCGAUCACACGGCUUUCAACAGUCCUUGCCUCUCUCCCUGUGACUUCUGUCCUGAUGUAAUCUUCAGCUCUCCAAGAGCCCCAUAUGGGGUGUAUGGGAGCAGGGUCAGGAGAGACUGUGAGAUGGAAUUCUGGGAGAAAGACAUUUAUUAAAAGUGUUAUUGACUCCAGGACACACAGGGUACAGCACAGUCAUGCUCACAUGUUCACAUACAAACAGGAUGACGUAGGUCCAAGGACAGGAAAUCAGAGCCCACAUGGCAGAAAUCGGGUUCUCUUCUUCUAUCUGUCCAAGGACGGAUGUUCCCAGCACCAUCCUGCAGGCAUGUGCUCUGAUUCCCAGGCAGGAGGCAGAGAAGUGGGUGGGAAGCAGGGUGUGAGGCCAUCAGUCACUACUGUGAUGUCAGCUCCCCUCCCUAGUGAGAGAUCCUGUCACCUGGAGGUCUGUUAGUUAAGGUCUCCCCAACAAGGUCUCCCCAGGCACCUGUGUGUGACCCUGAGAGGGAGUCAUUUUCCAGAGUCACUGUUCACUUUGUACUAUUUGGGUCCCCAGGAAGUAAACUUAGGUCAGCAGGCUGGUGGCAGACUCCUCUUCCCCCUGAGCUAUCUCACUGACUCAUGAUAUUUUAUGUCCAUUCAUUUAUAAUUUCAAAAUCCAUAAUUGAAAUAAAUUUAGAAAAAUGUUACAUCCAUGAUUCAUCACCAAAGGAAUCCACAUGUUUUUAAAGACAUGGACUCUUGCUGACCUGGAACUCACCAGUUAGUUCAGCAUAGCUGGACAUCCAGCCCCAAGACUCUCCAUGUCUCUUGCUUGUUUAGGGCUGGAAUUACAAGUUCCUGCCCACCUCUGGCUUAUAAUGUGGUUGCUCAGGGUCUGACUAUGGUCCUCCUACCCAUGAGCAAUGCUUCUCUGACUGGACCAUCUCUCUGAGUCCAUUCUCUCAUGUUCUUUUUUCCACAGAAACAUUCUCUCCUGUGCCUAAUCGCCAGACUACCUCUGGUCAUGAUGCCACAGGAACCAGGGACAACAGCCUAGGUGGUGGACUGACUAGUCGUCACUGUCCUUUUGAUUUGUACAUAUAUAUAGCUUAUAAUUUCUCAGAUCUCUGAUCACAUUGAUGGCUAAGCUAGGCUAAUGAUAGCUUUGCUGCUAAAUGCAGACAAUUAGAUCCACUGUAAGUUCAUCAGUCUAUUCAUUAGCUAGUUAGAACUACUAAGUACUAGAUCUUUUAUUUAGAAAAGUAAAGAAGGUUGCCUUGGGCACAAGCUUCAUAUUAAUUGCCUAUGUCUUUGAGUGAAAAACUGCACAGAAAAAUGCAAAGUUUAUGUAAAGUAGGAGGAUAUGAAAGUUUAAGUUAUGAGGAUAUAAAAAAUUGUUUAAUGGUCUAGGAAAAUGUUUCAAAGUUGAUAAGUUCAAGAAAGAUUGGAGGGUCUAAAAAGGUGUUUUAAGGUAUGUGAAUGUAAAUUGUAGUGAUAUAAAAGAAUUGGGAGAUAUAUCAGAUUCUCCCUCCCGUCUGCUAUUGUUGUGCUUAUCAUAUAAGAUUUCAGAAGUUCAGAGUUAGGACAUGGAUCAAUAGAGUUCUGAUGAGUUGAUGGAGCACUGAGUGGUUAUUAUUAAGUCACAAGCUUGAGAUCUUAAUUUCCUUUUGAUUGUCUUCUGGAGAUAAACUUAUAGGUGCCUCUCAUCAUGCUAAACACAUCUGUCUAAUGUGUGUUUAUCUGACCCAAAAGCUGUAGCUCUUAUGAAAUCUUAAUGGCAUGAAUCUACUCCUGCUGUCUCAUAGACACCUGUUAACUGCUCUUUCUAAAGUAUGGAUCUUGAUACAAUGGUGAUACAAUAUACUUUCUUUAGGAAACUAAAAUUGAUAAGAGUUUCAGAAAAUCAAAAACUCAGAAGACCUGGAUCUGGCAUAGCUCAAACAGACCCCAGAUGAGUUUUUCCCUUUGUCUUGGGAUUCCUCACUUUUCCUAAUUACUAGACAAAUUUUAACUUGUAUCUCUAGUCUGAAUUUUUCUCAGAAGAUGUUCACCUGGCUGACAGAAUCUAUUUGGGGAUCAGAUAUGGACUGCAAGCUGAAAUAUGGACUUGCUGU